UCACCGCUGAAGAGUCCCAUACUAGGACGAAACGGCCGUCCAGUGC
rnacentral:hammerhead_ribozyme from 1 species